rnacentral:rRNA from 1 species
AUGGUGGUGACGGCGGAGAGUGGUCUGCGCGCUGCCGCGGCAGCGAUGGCCGUGGAGCACGAGGUCUCCGUGGGAGUCCAAGAACCGGGUCUGCGUGCGGCCGUGGAUGCGACGCCGGCGGAAGCCGUGGUUCGGAGGAGGAGGAAGCGGCCGGAGGCCCGAACCGAGUUCCGCGGCGUGACCCGGACAGGCAAGGGCACGUACCGGGCGCAGAUCACGGACCCGAAGGCGAAAGCGCAGAUGUGGCUCGGCACGUUCUGCACCGCCGAGGAGGCCGCCAGAGCCUACGACGCCGCGGCCGUCAAGCUGUACGGCUCGGCGGCCAAGCCCAACUUCAGGCAGUCACCCAUGGCCACCGCCGCUGGUGACGGCGUCGCAUCGCACCUCUCCUGCGCCACAGCCGAGCCGUCCCCGCCGGUGAAGAAGAAGAAGAAGAAGAAGAGGAAGAGUGAUAGGCAGUUCCCCGGCGUGUUCCAGACACUAGGGGGCAGGUACGGGGCGGAGAUCAAGCACCGCAAGAUUCUGCGGCAGCUCGGCACCUUCGACACCGCCGAGGACGCCGCCAGAGCGUACGACGCCGCGGCCGUCGAGCUGCACUGCGCGAGGGCUGUUACCAACUUCAAGGCGGGCGGCGGCGUCUCCGAGCCGUCCAGCGAAGCGGCGGGGAGCGUGAAGAUGAAGGUGGAGGAGCCAGGCGCGAGGACCGAGCUCCAAGGCGUGCACGGGCAACUGGGCGGCGAGUGCAGUGCGCAGACAUGGGACUCCAAGGACUUUGACCUCCUCGACGACUUGACGGAGCUGCCGGCGCUCGACUUCUCGGACAGCCUGAUCCCAGGCCCGCUGCUCGCCGGUCUGCGGACCGACCUGCCGGCGGCGGAGCGGCAGCUGGUGGACGAGUUCAUCAAGGACAUGAACUUCACCGACGUGGGGAAUUAG